AAUCAACGCUGGCGGCGUGCCUAACACAUGCAAGUCGCACGAGAAAGGGUCUUCGGAUCUGAGUAAAGUGGCGCACGGGUGAGUAACACGUGAAUUAUCUACCUUCGAGUGGGGACUAACUCCGGGAAACCGAGGCUAAUACCGCAUAAUAUCUACGGCUCAAAGCAGUAAUGCGCUUGAAGAGGAGUUCGCGGCAGAUUAGUUAGUUGGCGGGGUAAUGGCCCACCAAGACGAUGAUCUGUAUCCGGCCUGAGAGGGCGCACGGACACACUGGAACUGAAACACGGUCCAGACUCCUACGGGAGGCAGCAGUGGGGAAUUUUGCGCAAUGGGGGAAACCCUGACGCAGCAACGCCGCGUGGAGGAUGAAGUCUCUUGGGACGUAAACUCCUUUCGAUAGGGAAGAUUAUGACGGUACCUAUAGAAGAAGCCCCGGCUAACUUCGUGCCAGCCGCCGCCGUAA
rnacentral:rRNA from 1 species